rnacentral:rRNA from 1 species
GUGUCAGCAGCCGCGGUAAGACGAACCGUGCGAACGUUGUUCGGAAUCACUGGGCUUAAAGGGCGCGUAGGCGGCUUGUCAAGUCGGGGGUGAAAUCCGGCAGCUUAACUGUCGAAGUGCCUUCGAUACUGACAAGCUCGAGGGAGGUAGGGGUCUGUGGAACUUCUGGUGGAGCGGUGAAAUGCGUUGAUAUCAGAAGGAACGCCGGUGGCGAAAGCGACGGACUGGAUCUCUUCUGACGCUGAGGCGCGAAAGCUAGGGUAGCGAACGGGAUUAGAUACCCCGGUAGUCCUAGCCCUAAACGAUGGGUACUAGGUUGUGGACUAAUAUGGGUUCACAGCCGAAGCAAAAGUUAUAAGUACCCCGCCUGGGGAGUAUGGUCGCAAGGCUGAA